GGGAAUAACAGUGAGAAAUCAUUGCUAAUACCGCAUAUGCUCACAGUAUCACAUGAUACAGUGAGGAAAGGAGCAAUCCGCUGAUAGAUGGGCUUGCGUCUGAUUAGUUAGUUGGUGGGGUAACGGCCUACCAAGACUACGAUCAGUAGCCGGACUGAGAGGUUGAACGGCCACAUUGGGACUGAGAUACGGCCCAGACUCCUACGGGAGGCAGCAGUCGGGAAUAUUGCGCAAUGGAGGAAACUCUGACGCAGUGACGCCGCGUAUAGGAAGAAGGUUUUCGGAUUGUAAACUAUUGUCAUUAGGGAAGAUAAAAGACUGUACCUAAGGAGGAAGCCCCGGCUAACUAUGUGCCAGCAGCCGCGGUAAUACAUAGGGGGCAAGCGUUAUCCGGAAUUAUUGGGUGUAAAGGGUGCGUAGACGGAAGAACAAGUUGGUUGUGAAAUCCCUCGGCUCAACUGAGGAACUGCAACCAAAACUAUUCUCCUUGAGUGUCGGAGAGGAAAGUGGAAUUCCUAGUGUAGCGGUGAAAUGCGUAGAUAUUAGGAGGAACACCAGUGGCGAAGGCGACUUUCUGGACGAUAACUGACGUUGAGGCACGAAAGUGUGGGGAGCAAACAGGAUUAGAUACCCUGGUAGUCCACACUGUAAACGAUGGA
rnacentral:rRNA from 1 species